AGAGUUUGAUCCUGGCUCAGAUUGAACGCUGGCGGCAUGCUUUACACAUGCAAGUCGAACGGCAGCACGGGGGCAACCCUGGUGGCGAGUGACGAACGGGUGAGUAAUGCAUCGGAACGUAUCCUUGAGUGGGGGAUAACGCAGCGAAAGUUGCGCUAAUACCGCAUAAGCUCUGAGGAGGAAAGCGGGGGACCGAAAGGCCUCGCGCUGAAGGAGCGGCCGAUGUCCGAUUAGCUAGUUGGUGAGGUAAAGGCUUACCAAGGCGACGAUCGGUAGCUGGUCUGAGAGGAUGAUCAGCCACACUGGGACUGAGACACGGCCCAGACUCCUACGGGAGGCAGCAGUGGGGAAUUUUGGACAAUGGGGGAAACCCUGAUCCAGCCAUGCCGCGUGAGUGAAGAAGGCCUUCGGGUUGUAAAGCCCUUUCGUGAGGGAAGAAAAGGUUCAGGCGAAUAACCUGGAUUGAUGACGGUACCUCAAGAAGAAGCACCGGCUAACUACGUGCCAGCAGCCGCGGUAAUACGUAGGGUGCGAGCGUUAAUCGGAAUUACUGGGCGUAAAGCGUGCGCAGGUGGUUUGUUAAGUCAGAUGUGAAAGCCCCGAGCUUAACUUGGGAACUGCGUUUGAAACUGGCAAGCUAGAGUCUGUCAGAGGGGGGUAGAAUUCCACGUGUAGCAGUGAAAUGCGUAGAGAUGUGGAGGAAUACCAUUGGCGAAGGCAGCCCCCUGGGAUAAGACUGACGC
rnacentral:rRNA from 1 species